AUUGAACGCUGGCGGCAUGCCUUACACAUGCAAGUCGAACGGCAGCACGGGAGCAAUCCUGGUGGCGAGUGGCGAACGGGUGAGUAAUAUAUCGGAACGUGCCCAGUCGUGGGGAUAACGUAGCGAAAGCUACGCUAAUACCGCAUACGAUCUAUGGAUGAAAGCGGGGGAUCGCAAGACCUCGCGCGAUUGGAGCGGCCGAUAUCAGAUUAGGUAGUUGGUGAGGUAAAGGCUCACCAAGCCGACGAUCUGUAGCUGGUCUGAGAGGACGACCAGCCANACUGGGACUGAGACAAGGCCCAGACUCCUACGGAGGCAGCAGUGGGGAAUUUUGGGACAAUGGGCGCAAGCCUGAUCCAGCAAUGCCGCGUGCAGGAUGAAGGCCUU
rnacentral:rRNA from 1 species